ensembl:snRNA
GCGUUGUAUGAAAGGAGAGAGGGUUAGCACUCCUCUUGACAAGGAUGGUGGAAACUCUCGAGCCUGACAACAUGCAUACAGUUAAGGCAUUGCCACUUACCUCAUGGCAUCUAACCACACUUCAUG